UGGUACAGGGGUUCUCUAUAAGCUGAGCACCUUGUUAACGCACCCGUGAAUCMGAAAAUAAAAAGAUAAAGGAAAUAAAAGAAAAUGUUGAAAAAUCACYGUUUUAUGCGUUUGUAAGAAUUCUGGCCGAGAGCGCAAACAUGUUAGGUUCAGGUCAACUGUAUGGUAAGAUUUAGACAUAGCGGAUGAUGGUUACAACACACAUAUUUCAAGCACGUGUCUCGAAAAAAUGGACAAUUCUAUUUGUUUUGUGGUUUACGGACAAGCGGACUUUGAUGCUUUAGAACCUGCCGAGCCAUACGGAUAUUGGCUAAUUAAAUACCAAAAUGCAUAAAACAUACAAUGUGCACUUAAGCAAACAGCAACGGGUACCCGUCCCCACAUGGGUAAUUUGCUAAAUACUCUACUCGUGUAGUUUUUUUAAGUAUUCGGCUUUCCAGUUUACAACCAGCACAAAUCAAAUCUUAGACUUUAAAUGGCUAAUUUGUGAAUCUAUGGAUUACUGAAAAAUUGACUUUAAACGAACUGGUAGAGGUGCUUGGCCUUGCUUUAAAAAAUAAAAACCUUGUUGGCCAGUUCAAGUUAUCGCAUUUUACAUGAUCUUCACAUAUUUUCUCACUUUAUUCAAUGGCACGUUUGCUUUGAAAACUCUCAGGAAAACUCAUUGCUAAAGACCAAAGAUUCAGGGCUCCGUAUAAUAAUUAUAGGUAAAAAUCGUAACUCGAUGUUUUAAUUAGCAAAUGAAAUUCUCUAAUAUGCUCUUAGGUACAUGUCGCAACACUUUGCCUGAUGGAAAAUGGCAGAACAAUCCUUUUAACCAUCACAGAUCUUGAGGCCAAAUCUAAAACGAGACAAUACCUCUUUUGCGGUUGCUCAUAUCAUGCCAAAUGGAGCAAAAUAAUUUGAGUGCAUCGCAUAUAAUCAGACCCCCACAUUUGUGCAUUCAUGCUUUUGUGUUCGCUUUGAAUAAGACGCACGAACACGAACUUUGCCAUAUGGGAAUGAUUACUCAAGCACCGUGAAUAUCUAGUUUCCUUAUUUAAAAAUUUUCUAUUUCCACACGGGCUAGUAAAGUGUCGUGUUUCCAAUCUCCAAUAGUGCUGAAAAAAUGACAAAAAGACCCAGAAAAACAGUCUGAGUGAACAUGCCAAAGCAUCGGGGGCCUGAAAGAUGAUACUCGAACGACAAUGUCACUUCAAAGACGGCCGAGGAACCAAAAUAUUUAAACCGUAUUGGGAACACAUGUGGAUUUUGUCCCCAACUGGGUCUUUGAAAACAUGCUUAAUGACUAUUGAGUGACAUGGGCGCUAACGAUAUAACAACACCGGAUUUAUAGGUUUAAUCGCAUUUUAUAUGAUCUUCUUCAAAUAUUUUCUCGCUUUAUUCAAUGGCACGUUUGCUUUGAAAACUCUCAGGAAGCAUUGCUGUUUGAUAACAACAGCGAUGUUGAGCAAUUGGGCAAUAAAAAUGAGUAAACGCUUUAUUAUGCAAAAGUCUCAAAUUCGCCACUUAAAAGAUUGAAGAAGUUACAUCAUUGCAAACCCGAGAGGCGGAAGUGUCCACACAAUACGGAACAAUAUGGCACACACUUCGGCGAUCGCAUGUUCCACUUUUCACGUUCUGAAGAAAAUAAUUAUUCCACAAGGUAAUCGAGUAAAGAUCGAGUGCUAAUUAAGCUUCUUGUUGCACCCUAUUGUUUUGAUUAGUUGCUCAACACUCGCUUUGAUGCUUUUCUACUAAUCAACUGGGUUACUGAGUCGCCAGGUUUGAGUAGAAGGUAAUUCAACAGACAAAAAGUGCUACUUUGCGUCCAGGUGGUCAGAUUUUCAUAAACCAGAUGUUCAAGUUUCAGCUGUCGAUGACCCGCUUUUUUAAUUACAUUGUUAACUAAUAAUCAUGGGCAUUAAUUCCUUUGGGUCAAAAUCCUAGGCCAAUUUUCUUCAGCGGGAUGAUGCAAUUUCGACCUUUCAGUGAAGAUCCUGCCAGUAACAUUUGCAGAUAAUCGCAGUGUUGCUUAUGCAAGCCUCAGCUUCAGCUUAUGUAAGUGCGAUAAUAAUCGGAAUUUUUCAGUAAAUUCUGCGAUUAAUUUCCGGCCUAAAUCGCCGCCGACAGAAUCGGGUAGCUUCUUUUAGGCUGAUUACAAGAAUUACGUAAAGAGGGAAAGUGGCACACUGCCCGUAUUGGAUAAUGUGCUCCAAUGAACUUAAGUCACAAUCCGAUUUAAUCAGUGUUGUUUGGUUUACUCGCUUUUGACUGAUAUACUUUGAAUUUUCCUCUUUUAUCUUGUUUGGUGUUUUCACUUUUGUUUAGUGUUGCAGCGCAACACCUCACAACAUACUAAAACAAGUAAAGAAAACUAACGAAAAAAAUUAAAAGAGCAUCAAAGACUAAAAAGAUGCACAUGAAAGAAGCACUCAUUAGUUAAUGGUGACUAAAAUGGAUGAUGAAGACAAUAAAAAAAAUAGAGGAUAAUUCUAGAAAAUCAAUUGAACGCUCCGCCACUUUCCAAUGAAGAAAUCAUCAGGCAGGCAGCCUUCCGAUAUGACUGAUUGAAAAAAUGAAAAUUGCUGACGUAAUGGUUGAAAACAAUCUAGGAAAAUUGUUUCAGUAUCUGCAGUUACUCAUUGCUUCGCAUCUGCGGAUGAUUUAUCUCGCAGUAAGAUAAAAAGCCUUAGAAAAUCCAAGCCCAAAGCAGCAACAGACCAGUAGAUUAUGGUCAAAAUGCACUUUUACGCCCAGACCGAAACAGCUUUUUUACAUAUCGGGCUUCUUCGGGAAGUCAACUCAAGAGGCAUAUGGGAAGAAGCUGGAAAAAAUCGCUGGUUUCCAGAUGUUGGGUAAAAUAUUAUAGCGGUCGCUACCGGUACUUCAUACGAACGGGCCCUACCCAGAAAUCGUCAUAUCUUCGCGGUAUUCCCACAUCAACAACAACUCGACUUGUUGCAGAUUCCGUGAACCUACUUAUUAAACUUAAACAUAUUUCCAAGACGAUAAGUACUUCCGUACAUGGGCGGCGAUGGCGGAUUUAAUUUGCUCGAAACAUCCCCUUAAAAAUACCUUCGAAGUAGUCUAAAUUGCCAGCACAACGAGCAUGGUGUAGAAGAAGAAACACUGAUAAAAAUCUUCGGCUGUUUGCCCAACUAUUAUCGGACCAGGUACUGAAAGACAUGGCUUGAAAUUGGUAGGUGGAGGAGGAAGGACACAAAGGAAAAUACCAUCACGAAUGAAAGGACAUUUGUCCGCUACAUCAAGGACGUGGACACAAUCUAUUAUUACUGUUUCUUCACGGAAUUAUUUAAAAUUCUACUUGAUAGUGCCAUGUGGGGAUUAUUUAUUACUAGCAACGUGCAAAGCCCAAUUCGUCGAAUAUACUAAUAUCGAUGUGAUAAAAUGUUAUGAAUUUA